rnacentral:rRNA from 1 species
UACGUAGGGGGCAAGCGUUGUCCGGAAUCAUUGGGCGUAAAGAGCGUGUAGGCGGCUUGGCAAGUCUGGUGUGAAAUCUUGCGGCUCAACCGCAAGCGGUCACUGGAAACUGCCUCGCUAGAGUCCGGAAGAGGAGAGCGGAAUUCCUGGUGUAGCGGUGGAAUGCGCAGAUAUCAGGAAGAACACCCGUGGCGAAGGCGGCUCUCUGGAACGCAACUGACGCUGAGACGCGAAAGCGUGGGGAGCAAACAGG